AAAUGAUUCACUUCCCAGGCUGGACAGAGCAGACAGUGUGAGAGUUCACCACACUGCUCAGAGUGGCAUGCAGUUUAAAACUAUGAAUUAUUUAUUUCUGGAAUUUUCCAUUUAGCAUUUUCAGGCUGAAGUGUUAGUAUUCCCAUGUUUUCAGGGAACCGAAGCCUCAGAAAGCAAGAUGGGGAGCGGGGGAAACAACCCUCCCUUGUGCUGGUUCCCUUCCAGUAAGCAUGCCCACGGCGCCUUCCCACAUGCACUGGCUAUGUCAAGCUUUACUCCACCCUUGAUUAGCUUCUGUUUCCUCAUCUGUAAAAUGGGUUGUUAGCAUCUGCUUUACCCACUGCCCAGGGCUGUUGGGAGAACAAAUAUGGACAUGGAGAACUGUUUCAAAUGGGGGUGGUUUAAUCUCAGGCAAGUUGACAAACACUGCCCCAGCUUCCGAACACAGUGCUCCUGCCAUCAUGGACCCCUGCGGUUGGGGCUGUGGAGAAAGCUCACUUCGUGUCACAUUACUCACGCCACUCAGGCCUUCAGGUGGAGGUUUGUCCAGGAGACUUGUGGGUAAAAAGGGCUCUGGAGUCAGGAGGCUCAUGUCCACACCCUGCUUCCAGCACUGGCCACCGGCUGCACCCAAAAGGUGGGUAUGGAUCAUGGCUGGCAUGAGCGCUCAGCAAAAGGGGGCGGUGGCCAGUGCUCAGCGUUGGCUCUCAUCACACCUGACACCUUCCCCCACCUGCAUGGCCAUCUCUGUCAUCUGCUUCCUCAGAAUGGUCAUGUCACACAACUUGAUGGUGGGGGAUGGAGACCCCCAAAGGUG
rnacentral:lncRNA from 1 species